rnacentral:rRNA from 1 species
UACGUAGGGGGCAAGCGUUAUCCAGAUUUACUGGGCGUAAAGCGCGUGUAGGCGGCUGGUUAGGUGUGAUGUGAAAUCUUCCGGCUCAACCGGAAAACUGCAUUGCAAACCGGCCUGGCUAGAGUGCAGGAGAGGGAAGCGGAAUUCCAGGUGUAGCGGUGAAAUGCGUAGAUAUCGGGAGGAACACCUGUGGCGAAAGCGGCUCACUGGACCACAACUGACGCUGAGGCGCGAAAGCUAGGGGAGCAAACAGG